GAUGAACGCUGGCGGCGUGCCUAACACAUGCAAGUCGAGCGGCAGCGAGGGGUGCUUGCACCCUGUCGGCGAGCGGCGGACGGCUGAGUAACGCGUGGGAACGUACCCCAAAGUGAGGAAUAACUGCCCGAAUGGCUACCUAAUACCGCAUAUUAUCCUCGGAUCAAAUUAUUUAUCCGCUUUGGGAGCGUCUCGCGUCGGAUUAGGUUGUUGGUGAGGUAAUGGCUCACCUAGCCGACGAUCCGUAGCUGGUCUGAGAGGAUGACCAGCCAGACUGGAGAUGAGACACGGUCCAGACUCCUACGGGAGGAAGCAAUGAGAAAUCUUCCACAAAGGGCGAAAGCCUGAUGGAGCAAAGCCGCGUGCAGGACGAAGGGCGUCGAGUUGUAAACUGCUUUUAUAAGUGAGGAGUAUGACGGUAACUUAUGAAUAAGGAUCGGCUAACUACGUG
rnacentral:rRNA from 1 species